UACGGAGGAUGCGAGCGUUAUCCGGAUUUAUUGGGUUUAAAGGGAGCGUAGACGGGUCCUUAAGUCAGUUGUGAAAGUUUGCGGCUCAACCGUAAAAUUGCAGUUGAUACUGGGGACCUUGAGUGCGGCAGAGGCAGGCGGAAUUCGUGGUGUAGCGGUGAAAUGCUUAGAUAUCACGAAGAACUCCGAUUGCGAAGGCAGCUUGCUGGACCGUAACUGACGUUGAUGCUCGAAAGUGCGGGUAUCAAACAGG
rnacentral:rRNA from 2 species